AGAAGGAUAGUUAAAAAUAACAGCUUCAUUGCAAGAAGAAAGUAUUGGCUAAACAAUUCCUUUUA
rnacentral:tRNA from 1 species